UUUCAGCGAGCCGAGCCAGAGCGGGUGGUCGUCCGGCCGGUCCUGCCCGUACGUGGCGAUGAUCGCCUGCGCCUC
rfam:Streptomyces ipomoeae 91-03 gcontig_1108499724945, whole genome shotgun sequence.